UUUAAUAUGGCAGAAAAGUGCUUUGAACUUAAGAUUCAAUAAUAAAAUUUAUAAUUUUUGUUAAAA
rnacentral:tRNA from 1 species